UUGGUAGUCUAAUGGUAGAACAAUAGACUGUUAAUCUAUAUGUAAGAGUUCGAUUCUCUUCCA
rnacentral:tRNA from 1 species